rnacentral:sRNA from 1 species
GAGAAUAAUAAAAAACCUGGUAACUACAAAUCUAUGUUACGACCAGAGGUUGGCACCACUUCACAAGAUUCAGCUCUCUUAGAUCAGGAAUUGUAUAACUCCUUCCAUUUCUGGAGGACUCCUCUUCCUGAAAUAGAUCUAGACAUAGAGCUUGAACAGAACUCUGGGGGAAAACCCAGCCCAGAGGGACCAGAGGAAGAAUCUGAAGGCCCUGUGCCCAGUUCUCCAAACAUCACCAUGGCCACCAGAAAGGAACUGGAAGAAAUGAUAGAAAAUCUAGAGCCCCACAUUGAUGAUCCAGAUGUUAAAGCCCAAGUAGAAGUGCUGUCCGCUGCACUGCGUGCCUCCAGCCUGGAUGCGCAUGAAGAGACUGUCAGUAUAGAGAAGAGAAGUGAUGUGCAAGAUGAACUGGAUGUAAAUGAGCUACCAAAUUGUAAAAUAAAUCAAGAAGAUUCUGUGCCUUUAAUCAGCGAUGCUGUUGAGCAAGCAACACAGUAUUCUGAGCAGAAGAUCGGGACUUGAGGCCAUGUUGCGGAGGGCCAGUGACAUUAUCUGGACUCUGGAGUGUGAG